rnacentral:lncRNA from 1 species
GGUUUUAAGUUUUUCUUUUUCAAACUGAUUUUAAUGCUUCUUUUGGUUUUCAAUGAUUUGUGCAUAGAUUUUCCAAGUCUUUUACUCAAAAUGAAACCAACUCAAACAAUUCUUUUUAAUUUUUCUUAAACAAUGUGUUAACCCUUGGGUAGAGGAGGAGCAGCGGUUCGCCAAAACUCUAUGUAUCGUCCGAUAAGUGCAAUCAGAGAUCUCUGUUUACAAAAAACGGUGGUCUUUUAUAAUAAUUUGGUCCAAGGGGUUAUGUUAAACAACUUCCCUAAAUGUGGUUGUUAUGAUGAAUUUACUCCUUUGAUAAUCUCUAUCUCUUCUCUCCUUGCUAUAAAGCUACAGUUUAAUUAAUUUGCCACUCAUCGUCCACUCAUUUUUUGGACCAUCGGUUCAAAAUCAACGCACAUGUAUAUACAUCGUCCUCAUUCUUGUUUCGUUCUUGAUGGGAAUGCAGCCGGGAAAGGAGCUGACUUCGUUCUGUUCUAUUCUUGGAGAUUGCUGGAGAUUGCUGUAUAUGUAUCAAUGACUAGUUGAGUACAAGAUGCACCGUGCCAGACCACACGAUAACCCCCUGUGGGGCUAUAUGAAUCCAUGUGAGAAAAGGAUGGAUAUAAACCAGCAGCCUUAUCGUUAAAAAUGAAAAAAAAAAUCAAAUGUGGA